UCCGGCCUACGGGGGCAGCAGUGGGGAAUAUUGGGCAAUGGGCGCAAGCCUGACCCAGCAACGCCGCGUGAAGGAAGAAGGCUUUCGGGUUGUAAACUUCUUUUCUCAGGGACGAAGCAAGUGACGGUACCUGAGGAAUAAGCCACGGCUAACUACGUGCCAGCAGCCGCGGUAAUACGUAGGUGGCAAGCGUUAUCCGGAUUUACUGGGUGUAAAGGGCGUGUAGGCGGGACUGCAAGUCAGAUGUUAAAACCACGGGCUCAACCUGUGGCCUGCAUUUUAAACUGUAGUUCUUGUGU
rnacentral:rRNA from 1 species